rnacentral:tRNA from 1 species
GGGGAUUUAGCUCAGUGGUAGAGCGUUUGCCUAGCAAGCACAAGGCCCUGGGUUCAGUUCCCAGCUCCG